UAUGGCUGGUGGGUAGGAGAAAUGCAGGGAGCCAUUGGCUUGGUGCCUAAAGCCUACCUAAUGGAGAUGUAUGAUAUUUGAGAGUCUGGAAGUCUGUCCAUCUGCAAGCGCUUUGGAACACAGACUGCCUGGAGCCACCUUCCUUUGGGAGACCUUCCUGCCUCAGCUGUCGUCCUGUGUCGUCAUUCACUAAAGCUCCUGACGUCAGAUUAAGCAAGCAGUGAUGGGUUACAUUAGAGACAAGCCGCAGAGAUAAGGCCUGUUGCUGUUUCGCAGAUAAUGAUGAGUUUUAAUUUACCCACUGGUUUGUAUGGGGAAUUCAUUGUGAUUGUAUCUGAAUCUUAGUCAUUGAAGCCACCACUGAAGGUUGCUGUUUCUCGUAGUCACUGGGUUAUUUUUAGAGUGCCACAUAUAAUUUCCUAAACUUUGUACAUUUUGAGUCAAUAAUAAAGACUUCGUUAAAGCUGU
rnacentral:lncRNA from 1 species